CCCCUCGCGCGCUGCGCCCGCCGCCGGUCGGCUCGUGUGGCGUGAGCGCGGGAGUGUGAGGGCUGACAGGGAGGAGAGGAGGGCGGCAGAGGAGCCGCAGAGCGUCAGCCCGCGGGGCUACGUGUGCUGCGGCCGGCAGGUGUGCCGCACGGACAUGCUGCAGUGCACCGAGAUAGUUUCAGUAGCCGCUGGGGAUGGCGGAGCCAGUGUCCGGGGGGACAGACAGGUACUGCUCGGUGCUGCGCCUCGCGGCCCGGCGCUGCCGUCUGGGAGAGCGUGAAGGGUGAAUGACGCUGGUUUAAGCGUACGGAGAAAUCUUAUUUUCCUCUUAAGUCCACUGAAGUGUCUGAGAGUCGGUGCGCUAAAGCAGCGAGAGUUGCCUUUCUCUUACUGUGGCUUUGAAUUAACGCUUUCUGAACGCAGGUAAGGAUUUCAGAGCCGUGUGAAGAAAAGCCUCCGCCCUCAGACGCACAGAAACGCCCCGCGGCGCGCGGCAGUCGCGGCGCGUAACGGCUCACCGCCUUUAUUUUCAGCGCCGCCGCGCGGGGAGUCGAAGCGUCCCUCAGGAUUCACUGCUACGCGUUUCUGAAGUUUGGCCUCUGUGGUAUCUUCGGCGUUAUUCAAACUGCUUUCUGCUAAGCCCCAAAAAUUCCAGAGCAUUGCCAGCCUUGAGCUUAUCCUGCAAAAACAAAACACCCGUGUAUGUUUGCUGCUCUCGCUCGGGCGGGAAGGCAGACGUCCGAUUCCCGAGGCUUUCAGCCGUGCCUUACAGCGCCCUCGUGAGCCGCGGCACGGACACCGAAUGGCCCUUUCAGCCUUAGCAGCGAUCAGUGCGCUCUCCUGAUCUGGCAGUGCUUUAUCUUUUUUUUUCUUCAGGUCUAAAAUCAGAGACUUCAACAUGAAAAAAAAAAACAACAAACAAACAACCCACCCCACCCACAAACCAAAGCGCAUCCGAAAUCAAAGCAAAAAACCCCACACCCGAAGGGAAAGGUGAUACCUUCAGUUUAUUGUCAAAAUCGUCCAUUGAAUCAAUCAGUUUUCCGGGUUCGAGUUCCCCCAGUGGAAAAGGGUAAUCUGUCCCUAAAAUAACUCUGUCCUGGUAAUAAAGAAACACAUUGUAUGUUUUGUUGUAGCAGGAAACAACACAGUUGCGCGUGCUUUCUGGAAUGUGUAAUGAAUCACAGAGAGAUACAGAUACAAACACGGGAGGGGCUGAUGAACUAUGAAGGUGAAUGCAAAGGUAGUCCCUGCAUUCCAGAAAAAAACCCAGAGCUGCAAAACAGAGCCUCAGAUUUAUUGAGGGAAUUAAAUCCACAAUGACUCACCUGCUUGUGGAAGCAUGAAAACUCACCUCUCCGAUUACACUUGUUAGGAGCCUUAGUGCACCACGAUCAUGGACAAGAGAGUCUGUGUAAAAUGAACCGAGGUAUUUUCUUGGAUCCACCUUAUUGUCCACUGCACACAAAUCGGGGCGCAUGUUGAAUCCGUGGGAGAUUCGCCCCACUGUGUAUGGAAAAGUACCUCCUGCAAGGAGAAAUUUUUAGCAAAAGAAGCUGAAAACGUGUAGGAGGAAGAGCAGAGAGAUACCUAAGUUUUAUUACUGACUAACUAGAGAAGAAGGGCUCUGCAACAGCACUUUUUUAUUCAUUCCCUUUCAUUACCUUCUUUCUCUGUUUUCCCACUUCUUCACUCCAGCAACACCCAGAUUCUUACUGCUCCCUACCCAUAAACUGCCUCCUGUCUCCCUUUACUUCUCAUGUUCCUUAAAGGCUGUCAUAGCAGUUCAAACACAGGCUGAAAUAUGAUAGAAAAUGUUUGUAUGAGCAACCUAACUGGCAGAUAUCCUCACUGUGUAAUAGUACUCAGUGAGGGGCAGGCUUAAAGUAGUAACGCCAUUAUCUGCUGUACCAGAAAAUACAGUUAUACUCUGCUCAAUUAAAGAACAAGUGUAUUGCUUACCUCCAUGAGCAAAGCAAACUUUCAGCUUAGGAAAUUUUUCAAAAAUUCCUCCCAUAAUCAUGGAGCAAAUGGCUGUGGUUGUUUCUGCUGGCAUGCCUAGGAAUAAAAAAAAGCUUUAUCAAGCCAA